CAUGAAUCCGCCAUGGGUGUAAGUUUGAGGAUUUCAAAAGUUCCCCACACUGCCCAUUGACAUUCUGAAUUGCCUUUGGUAAGAUUGGUCCAUUUAGUUAGAAAUGACCAUGGCUUUUAAAUACAAAAUUAGUGGGGGUCCCUUUAAGGUGAGCAUCGUCAGAGUAUUCAGACAUCUGGGAUCUCCUUUCUCAGAACUUUUUCUCUUCUAGAGUUUUUGAACAACCUGGACAGCUCAAGUAACUUACAUGUUGGACUUCUUUCAGCUUAGAUAGCCUGCAUACCAGCCAGUUCUAAGGGGGCAGCUUGGUCUCAGAGAAGCCAGGCCGAAGACUUCUCAGCUCUGUUCCCAUAUGAUAGCUUGUGUUCCAAAAGAAUGGGCUGAAGGAUGAACCAGCAAAGUUCCAAUGAAAUGGACCCUGUUCCUGAAGACCAGCUCAUUCUGUUUGAAACCAUCUGAUUUCAAAUCCGACCAAAGUGCAAAAAAAAAAAAAAAAAAAAAGAAAAAAAAGCACUCACAAACAGAAGAAGGCCUUCACCAGAAAGGAUGAGACCUUAAAAUAGAUCCUGAAUAAAGCCGGGAGGGCAGCAAAAUACUGAGAGCAGAAGCUUGAAUCCAGGAAAAAAAGACCUUCCAAACUCCAGGGCUGGUUAGAAAAGCAGUGAGCAACAGUGUCUUUGAAGGCGAUCAAACACUGGGAGGAACAGAAACCAGAGACUGGGGCUCAGCAGGACCCUCCCUGCUAACCUCAGAACUGCUGGGCAUCUUCUUGCUUCCUGUCACUCGCCAAAAGGAGCAGUGUUUGAACUGCUUUCUUGAUGGGUCAGAUGCAGUGGCCCUUUGGGUGGGUCUGACCUCUGUUGGCUCAGCGGGGACUGUGCCCUGGGUUCAGGCUGCUCUUGUACGAGCCCUAGGGGGCACUCAGAGCAAGGGAAGGUCAGGGCCACCUGGGGGACCUUGUCCUCCUUGGUGACAGCAGUGACACAGGGCGGUGAGUGCUGGUGGCCGGUGCUCAGCCUUGCAGGGGGGUUGGGCUUCAGGAAGGACGCAUCUCACAGUGUGGGCUUCAUUGUCAAGGCUGCGAAGGUGACACCUUUCUCACCCCUCCUGUCUGCCUUUGAGGCCUCAAGGGCCAGAGCACAGGUGGGCACACUGUGGGCACACUGCUCAGGAAAAGCCUCACGCCUUAGCCCAGGGCCACGGUGGUCUGGGAGGUGCUCCCAAAGUGAGACUGAAGAAAAUACUGGAUUGGCCAGAAAGUCCCUCUGGGUUUUUCUGUAA
rnacentral:lncRNA from 1 species